rnacentral:lncRNA from 10 species
UCUAUGUGCAGCUUCCUUCCUUGGAUCCCCGCCUUGAGACUUAUUGUCACAUGGUGGUGGCAAUCACUCACCUGACUGAGACGAGGAAAGAAAAGCAGGCAUGUGUUUGUGUCUUAACUUCCCACCUUGGCUAUUGGCCAGGAGAUAGGGGUUUUGGCCAGGAGAUGCGGCGAUUGCAUCAGACAGAGGCGGGGGAGCCCGAGGAAAGAGGAGUUCUCCACACCUUGAUCACCACCGAAGGCUCUGGAUCCUUCUCUCUGGCUGAUUUGACCACACCCAGGAGCAGUGACAUGGAAGUGAACUUGGAGAGGCAAGUUGAUGAGACCGAGCGUGGCCUUGGUUUCCUGCUUUCCCCUGCUAUUCCUGGUUCCUGUGCUGUAAGGAUGCCACCUGACAGUUCCCAUGGCUUCAGAAGUACAAAAUAUUCACAAGCAUGUGGACUAAGAGCAGUUGUCACAAGCCACUGGUAGAAGAUCAGCCUGUCAUUAUCUUGUAUCCAGGACCCAGCAGCUCCAUUCCUAGUUCUGUCUUCUACAUGGGUCCCAGGACACCUGCAUGAAGAUGUUCAUUGCAGCGUUGUUUAUAAUCGCAAAAAACUGAGAGUGGGAGGAGACUCUGAAUGUCCAGGAGAAUGGAAAAAGUAUACCAUUGUACGUAAAUGAACAUUAAAUGGCAGAGAAGAAGGACCAUGUAUCAAGAGAGACAUGUCUCAAAAUCAGUGUCAAAUAUAAAAAGCAAGUUUCAGAAAGAUACGUAUUGGAUAAUAUCAUUUAUAAAGUGUUUCUGAAACAUGGAACAUGUAUUAUACAUUCUGUACACUUGCAUAUUUAAGUAGCAAAAUUAUAAAAAAAAAACAGGAAUGGGAAUAAGGAAGUUACCAGUAUAAAGAUUACAUUAUGGGACAGUGCUGUGAUUAGGAGUUCAGGCUUUGGAAUCAGACGGACUGGUUUGAAUCCUGGCUUGGACUUAACUUCUCUGAGCUUUUGUUUCCUUACAUGAAAAAUGGGACCAAUAAUGGUAUCAACCUCAUAAGGCUUUUGUGAGGAUUAAAGGAAAUAAUAUGUAUAAAACCCUGCACUCCGCAGUGUAUUUAUAAGAUUUAGAUGUACAGGAGGUAUAAAGAGGUGACAAUAAAACCACCAAUCUCAGGGCUGUCUUAAAUUAAGAUUUUUUUCUAAUUAAAAAAUUAAUUUUGGAAUUAUGCUCAUCAUAGAGACCGUGAAAAUUACAGAUGUAUAUAUAUAUGUGUGUGUAUAUAUAUAUAUAUAAAGAAAGAAAAGAAAAUUAACAUGUCCCCAAAUCUCCCUACCCUGGAAAACACUAUAACAUUUUAAUGACUUUCCUUCCAGUCUUCUUUUGGCAAUACGCAUUCACACGUACUUAGAUGAGGGGGUUCAGAGGAGAGGCGUGAAUCUACACAUCUCUCUGUCUAUCUAUGAGAAACAUCUCCCAGCUUACUAUUUGUAUUCUGCCCUUUUCAUUACCACUUGGGGCAGACUCUGUAAGUGUCUGAAGCAAUUCCUUCUUCUUCUCUACCAACAUAACCCAUUUUUGUUUAUGUAUUGGCCAGAAUUCUCCUGAUCUCAGGGAAGAUGUAUAGGGUAGUCAUGUGAUCUAGCUAUGGCCAAUUAAAAGUAAAAAUAGGCUGGGCAUGGUGGCUCACGCCUGUAAUCCCAACACUGAGAGGCUGAGGUGGGUGGAUCACUUGAGGUCAGAAGUUCGAGACCAGCCUGGCCAACAUGGUUGAACGCUGUCUCUAAUGAAAACACAAAAAUUAGCUGGCAUGGUGGUGCAUGCCUGUAAUUGCAGCUACUUGGGAGGCUGAGGCAUGAGAAUGGGUUGAACCUGGGAGACGGAGGUUGCAGAGAGCUGAGAUCUCGCCACUGCACUCCAGCCUGGGCGACAGAACAACACUGCAUCUCAAAAAUAAAAAUUAAAAAAAAAAAGCAAAAUAAGUUUGAUGUGGAAACUUUUAGGAAGGAGUUUUGUAUCCUGAUAAAAAGCAAGACUGAAGUUCUGCCCCAGUCCUGGUCGCACAUAUCAUUCUUGUCUUUGAAUGAGACCAUGAUGCCAGGAGCUAUGGCAGCCAUUCUAUGUUCAUGAGACAAGCAGCCUGACGACAACGGCCAACACAAUGAAGAGGAUGGAGCAGAAAAACAGAAGAGCCUGGGUCCUUGAUGACCCUGUUGAGGGGCCAGACCAGCCCUGAGGCCACUAACCUUCAGACUUCUUAUAAAUGAACAUAAAUAGCCUCAUGCUUGAAGGCACCAAUGGUCUGACUUUCCAUUACCUUGAGGCCAAAAGUAUUGCAAAUGCAGACUUAUUGUAGAAUUCUUGGAAAUUACACAAUGUUUCAAAGAAGAAAAUGGACAUCAUCCAAAAUCUCACUACCUGGAGAUAAACACUAUUAAAUAUUUUGGUAUAUUUUCUUAUUUUCUUCUAACCAUAGAGAAAAGUCUUUCUUUUUUUAAAAGUGUAUUGCUUGCUAUUUGGCUUACUAUUAAAUUAAGUGUUUCUUUCCUUGUUAUUAAAGAGUCUUUGAAAAGUUUAUUUUUAAUAUCCAUUGCUUGGAUGUAUUGUUACAACUGACACGUUUGGUUUGACUUCUGUCAUGAAGAUAAAACAAGAGGCUUUCUGUUUGUGGGUGUUUGUGCAUUUUCUUUUCCUGCUUCCUUUGUUUCCAGCUUUUGCUAUGUGGAUUUUUCACUGUGCCUGAAAAAGUUCCCUUCCUCUAGCAUUGUGGAAGGUAAUUCACUCUUCACAGGACUCUGGAUUUCAGAUUUAUAGUUUGAGGCGCAUUUCCUUGAUCCUUUUGAGAAUCACACAUUGCUGAGUCCUGAAUUUCAGCUCUUAUAGGGGCGUUUCUUACCAUUUGAUGAGUAAAUCUCACAAAUGCCAGCUGUUGCUAGCUUACAAGGAAUCAAGUACCGGAAGUUCUUUCUCCAAACUGGAGUGCAUUCCCAGCACAUCCUAUGGGGUCCAAAUCUCCCCAUUUCAUAAUCUUUGUCAGGGAGAAGUGGUGUAGAGAGGACAAAAGGAAAGAAGUUUUCUUUGCUAGAUCAUAAACAUGCUAAAGGGCAAAAUUAAUACAGGUGAUACCCUUUUAGCAACACCUAAGGGAGUGAGCGAGGAUAAUUUCUGUGUGCUGCAUCUUUGUGUCUAAAACAUCAUGUGCAAUUGUUUUAUUUGGUUCUCUCUGAACAAUUCUUCCUGGACGCACAGGA